GACGAACGCUGGCGGCGUGCUUAACACAUGCAAGUCGAACGGAAAGGCCCUUCGGGGUACUCGAGUGGCGAACGGGUGAGUAACACGUGGGUGAUCUGCCCUGCACUUUGGGAUAAGCCUGGGAAACUGGGUCUAAUACCGAAUAUGAUCAUCGGCUUCAUGGUCGGUGGUGGAAAGCUUUUGCGGUGUGGGAUGGGCCCGCGGCCUAUCAGCUUGUUGGUGGGGUAAUGGCCUACCAAGGCGACGACGGGUAGCCGGCCUGAGAGGGUGACCGGCCACACUGGGACUGAGAUACGGCCCAGACUCCUACGGGAGGCAGCAGUGGGGAAUAUUGCACAAUGGGCGCAAGCCUGAUGCAGCGACGCCGCGUGAGGGAUGACGGCCUUCGGGUUGUAAACCUCCUUCAGCACAGACGAAGCGCAAGUGACGGUAGGUGCAGAAGAAGGACCGGCCAACUACGUG
rnacentral:rRNA from 1 species